rnacentral:ncRNA from 1 species
AAAAACGCGAUGAUAAGGACAUGAAUUUUUCUUACCGGUUUACAGAGAGGGAAGGGUGCUGGGAUCUUCCUAACGCUGCAGAGAAAUUUACCGCCUUUGAGCUGUAUUGGUGAAAUAAUAGUAAUCAAUACCGUAGACGCUACGUUACAGCACAAUGAGCUAUUGCUUUUACACAAGUAAUAGGAAUUUGGGUGGAACCACGAGAUCAAACACGCUCGUCCCUUUU